AGUCGCCUUUUCUCCAUCCUUGGAGAGGCCGGGGCAAGGCAAGCACAUCACUCCGCACGCCUCGCACCCAGCCUUUGCUCGGCGAUGCGCCUCAGCCCUGGCCCAGGUACCCCGAACCCUGGGGUCUUUCUGGAUAUUGCCCUGCCUCGAGCCCAGAUGCUGGAAUCCUAAUACAGAAGCCAGAACCCAUCUCUCCGUCCAAAUCAAUGAUCUGCGGCCCCCCAAAGCUAAUGUUCCUGGGCGCGGCUCGGAGAAGGCAGCUUCGCAGGCGGAACGCGCGCUCCUCGCUGCCCCAGGCGCCGCGGGUGCGGACCCUCCCCUGCCCAGGGCUCAUCCACAGUCCGGCACAUCGGCCCGCGACUCUGGGGCUGCCUCCGGGAACCUGGGAAGCGCCUGCCGGUUAGAAACCCGGGGUUAAGAAAAAAGCCAAGGUUCCUCCAUCCUGGGCCAGGCAGGGCUGCUCUCCCGGUCCUGCCUGCCUGCUGGCUUUCCCUUCCUCCUCCUUUGCGUCUGUUUUUCCCCCUCCUUCGCAGUCUCCUUCUUGUUCUUCCCUCUCUUAAGUCGCUUUUCCUCAAUCACACCGGGCCAACACCCUCCCCACCGCACGCCCCCCAAGACAGCCUGGGAUUCAAAAUGCAGUUGGAACACGGAUCACUUGAAAGAAAGCUCUUCAGGGGAAAGAACUGGAAUGGAAUGAAGAGAAAGGGUGGAGGAGAGAGAGAGAGACCCCACCCGGAGAGUCCAGAACAAGCGGUAACAAAGCAAAGUCCGAGGGAGCUUCACGCUCAACCCCCGGCCAGGCUCCAGAGCUGAAGUUCUCCUAACUCAUCCUAAGAAUAGGUAAAAGAAACCAAGCUAGGGGCCAUGCCCUGCCCCCAUCCUGCGGGCCAGGUUGGGGGAGGGGGUGUUCUCCAGCGGCCAGAAGCUCACUGGCUCUACCCGGGACCCUGAGCUUACUAGGGCUGGGGGAGUGGUCCGAGCCAUCUCGGAGCCUGCCAGACCCUCGGCUAGAAUGGGGACCCGCUGUCCAGCCAAGGCUGGCGGAGGCGCACUGGGGGCGCAGAGGGCGAUGCUAGUAGUCUGGACCCAAAGGACUGCAGGAAGGAGACCGUAAGGAAGUGUCUGUGACUGGGAAGCCCCAGCUCCUGCUUGGGCCGGGCAGCCAGCACCUACCUGAUCCCGGGGAACCGGAGUCCGGCGGCGGCAGGUGAGCUGUAGACGCUGCUGUGCAUGAUUAUCCCAUAGACCAGCAGGGCCAGUCUCGCUCCGCUACACAUGGUCAUUCUGCGCAGGAUGGGAAAGAGGACACACAGCUGUGAGAACGCCCCUGACCUUCCACCCUCCAACCCCAAAAAACUCUCGAAGCUGGGGGAGGGACGGAGCGAAGCCCCGGCUCCCUGUGUUGAACACCACUUAGCGACAGCCGGCGCGCGCCCUGUCACUUCUUGCUUGCUAUAGUUAGAAAAAAAUAUAUAUGCAUAUAGCCGGCGCCCAAUAACUAGCCAGACCUGGUUGAAGGAAAGCUAACUACCCUGAUGCGAUGCCAAGCGAAAGAAUCAGCAGUCGAGUGAGUCGGUCGGUUUGGUAAGAUUUUCUUUCCCUUACCGUUCAACUCUUACCGCUGUCAGGAGAGGGUGUGCUGCCAAGUAGGACGGCGGGCAAAGGGUUUCUUCAAGUUUCUGCGCUGGAGUCACAACCCGAGAGGCAUCACCGUCUGGCGUUGGUGUCUGAGCAGAAGCCGCAGGAACGAGCAGGAGCAGCAGGAGGAGCUGCAGGACUUGUUUGCCGAGGCUCGUGUUCUGUUCAAAAGUUUGUAGACGCGCAGAACUAGGAGGGAGCGUGACACGGAGAGAAGGGGGCGAAGAGAGAGAGACAGAAGAAAGAAAGAGGGGGCGAGGAGGUAAAGGGCGGAGGAGCAAAGUGGCCGUAAGUCCACCCGGAGGAAGAAGCAAGCGAUUAAGGAAAAGAGAGAAAGUCAGAAAAGAAGGGGAGAAAGGAAAGGGAGAGGGCGGGUGGCCAGCCGGCCUUUGUAGGAGCUGCGAGGGUCGGCAGCGCCUUCUCUGCUCCGAGGUCUCUCUGGCUGCCUCUGAAGCUGCGGCUUCUGCUGCUGCUGCCGGUGGUUACAGAGGUGACCGGCCUUCUGCUCGUAUUUAUCUGUGCAGUUAGCAAAAAUCUAUCCGAACAUGGUUUUUGGAGAGCCCUCUUUGUCAACAUCUGUCUGCCUGUUGCCUUUAAGUACAGAAUAUUUUGUUGCACUGUUGCGCUCCGAUUUUUAUUCAUGAAAUGACUUCCUUUUUUUUUUUCAGUCACGUAAUGAUCGGGUAUCAGAAAAAGACGUCAGCAUCCUAGUCCCUCAAGGAACAUAUUAACUAUUCUGUGCUGUCCUCCUGGAUGAUAAGAUCCGGAGUCAUCGACUUCUCAUAAACACCUUUCACUCAUACAAUCCAAUUUUUAAGAAGUCCAAUUAUUUUGAUGGUUUUCAAUUUCACCCAUUUCUCAAGGACAGGUAAAGAAUUUUUAGAAUUUUGAGGAUGACAAAAGUUAUGUUUUUAACUAUAUAAUUACGAUUUCUCUUUACUUUUUCAUCAAGCCCCACCAAUCAGAGCUCUGGUCUCUGGAAUUAAGCAUUAUCAAGCUCUCCUAUUAAUAAAUUUAAUUUAGAUCUCCUAAUUUCUUGCGUAUGUUCUUUCAGAUAGACCAUUAAGUGUGGAAGUCGUUUUGUUUUUAAAGGGAAGUCUUGGAGGAUUUUCAGUAAAUCUCUCCUCAGUCUGGCUGCCGUUGGCAGUCGGGCUAUGAGUAGAUUGAUGAGCGCUCAUGCUGCCUCCGGAGCGCGCCCUGCGGAGCUGUCCAGACUCCGGGUGCUGAAGUGUAGGGUAACAGAUGCUACAGAUGUUGAAAAUUGCCACUAGUUUAAUUUUUCACCAGAGCCUCUAAAUUUGAAGAUUUGGCAGUAGUGCUAUUAACGUGGCGAUUCAUUGCCUAAAUCACCCCCACCGUUCAGAUACAUCCUUUCCCCCUUGCAGCGUCCAUAAAUGCCCUAAUGCUGAGAAUGCUCUCCAUCCCUGCCUGGAUUUGAGGAAAAAGUAUUCUGUCCCCCGUUAGUCCUGGCUUUUGGAUCUCUAGACUACCUGUUUGGCUACUUUCACACCUUCUGUGGCUCUUACAGAUUUUAAAAAUUGAUGUUGUGAAAUUGUGUUUUCCACAAGAAAUGAAAUUUUAAGAAUUUUGGGGUGAGAAAUAUGUUUUUCCACUUUGUUUACAACUUGAGCUCUGUUUGGGAAACACAGACAGACUGGGAAAGCAUGAGGGUUCCCAGUACAAGUUCACCUGAUGAAGGUUUCUAACAGGAAUCCCUGUGCUGGAAAUAGUUAAUUUUUUUAACUGAAAAUUAUGUGGGAAGAGGAAAGCAAUAAGGGAAGACCAUAUCCACCCAGAGGCUUCCAAUUUCCUGGGUAAUUGAAGAAGGUUCAUAUAUUUCUACUCCAGUAAGAGAACUCGGGUCUAUUUCUUUAAAAAAAAAAAAAGAAGAAGAAGAAGAAAGAAAGAAAAUAGAGCCAUCAAUAACCAUUAGAGUGCAUUUUAAUUAUUUGGAUCUGACACAAAAAUUAGGGGAAAUUCCAGUUUAGUGGGAGCGCUUCCUGUUACUAUGAUUUGGAUCUAACAUUUAAAAAAGCUAUAUUAGUUCUGCAUGCUUUUUCCAAGAUAUUAUGUUUCUCCUUCUAAAUGCUGUUCCCGCUCUUAUUUGAGAUUUAAUACUUCCUCCUUCUUAAAAAAAAAUGAAGUUUUGCUUAUUCCUGGCCAUGAAUGACCGAAAACUGUCUGCUUCCUCUUAGUUUAUUCCUGGCCAUGCUUCAGAUUGUCUGCCUUCAAUAAAACUUCAAACCA
rnacentral:antisense_RNA from 1 species